ensembl:lncRNA
AAAGAGAAUACAUGGAUGGCAAAUAGGCACGUGAAAAAAUGUUCCACGUCACCAGCCAUUAGGGAAAUGCCAGUGAAAACCCAAAUGAGGUGUUACUACCCACCUGUUAGAAGAGCUGGUUAAAAGAAAAAAUUGUGGCGUCCAAGGUUGGCAAGAAAGCGGAUGCCUGGCAAAUUGCUCCCUCUGAGCAAGAGAACUCCCCAGAAGGAGGUGGCUCCCCAAGUCAUAUGCCACCAGGACAUCAGGCUGAAGUCGGUCCCAGGUCAAAGGUCUUCAGGCCACGGGCCCCACGAGCACCUGGGCGCAGUGAGCCAUCAGAAGCAUGGUGCUCUGAAGGGCUCCAAGCACAGGCCAGGCCUCGGUGCCCACCCACAGACCUCCGACAUUUCGGAGCCAACCUCUGGCCAAGGCAGCCAUCCCCGCCUUCACAGAUAGCGCCGACCCGGCCCUCCCCUGGAAGAUGGGUUUCCACCUGGACCGGUGGCCUCGGAUGUCUCUUGUCUGGGUCAAGAUGCCCUGCUUUUUUGUGUUCAGCCUGUUCUUCUUGCCCCACUUCCUGGCCUUCCAUCUGCUUUACAGAUUGAUUGAAUGGGGGUCGGGGGGAGGCGGGAGGGGACGAUGGGACUGGUCCUUCCCUUUCUGGAGGUUGGGGCACCACCUGGGAGCCAGACACAGGACUGGGAAGUGAUGGCAAGUUUCUGAGUCCACUGUUCUCUCUCUGCAACUUCUGGCCUCAGAGUCUCUGGGUGCAGGGCAGCGGCAGGGCGCACGAUAACUGGAAUGAAGCAGUUUUCUUCUACUAGGAAACAAUCUCUUCCAGCCAGCUCACCUGGGCCUGGCAGAGAUGCUGACCGCCACAGGCAGGCGAGGAUUCGGGGAGACCCUGGGGCUGGACCCAGCGUGCCACUGGUGGGACAGGGAUCCUGGAGCACCGGCAGCGGCACGAGCGGCUGACCUUUGCUGAGUUGCAGGGGAGGCUCCUGGCCGGCUGUGUGUGAGGGACUCACUCGCCCUGUGCUGAGCUGGAUCAGACGAGCCUCAUUCAGCCAGGUGUCCGGGGACACUCGGCCACCCUGUGCUGCACCGGGAUUCGAUGCCGGAGGUCUGCCAGGGGCCCUUCCCAGCUGAGUGAGGGUCCGUCGAACUCUGAUUCCCAGCACCCGAUGGGCUGAAUGGGCAGCGUAGGUGAGCAGCCCCAUGGGGCGUGGGUCCACGAGGCUCCGGAUAUGUGUGCAGGAGAGCAGAGGGGCGCCAAGGUGGAUGCGGACACGACGCUGGGGCGCAGGGUGUUGGGGAGAGGCCAGGCGGGGAGCGCACUGUUGUCCUGGGCGGAGCUGGGGCGGAAAGGCCACCUGCCCCAUCACUGAGGGCACGGCAAGGCCCUGGUUUUAUUACUGCCCGCGUCACAACGCCUCCUGUGACGUCACAGCCAUGCCCCUGGCUUUCACCCUGGUGCUGCUGGCGUCACCGCCCAGGGGUCAGCCCUCAUCCCCCAGGGGCAGACGAGGCGUGCUCUGGCCAUCUCCAGGAUCGCAGAGCCUUCCUUUCACAGGCGGAGCAACUAGGGGUGAGGGCAGUGACUCGAGCAGCCACGGCUUCUCCCAUCUGACAGCCGGUUCUGAGGACAGGAACUCCGGGAAAGGGAGUUGGCGCGCAGGGUGGGCGAGCUGCAGGCGGCCUGGGGCAAGGACAGAGGAGAGGGGAGACUCCAGGAAGAGGAAGGGUCCUCAGUUGAGGGUCCUGGUCAGUGGGGGUGGUAGGCUGCCCGUCUGAGAAUGGAGAAGUACCAUUUCUGGACAGCGCCCAUCACGCCCCUAUGCAGCGGUCUGCCCCUUCCCCAUCCCUGUGGUCCUCACUGAAGACUUUAGCCCUGCUGGCUGCUGGCACCACGACAGCCCUAUCAUCAUUUUCGGUGACUUCUACAUCCGCACUGACAAUCCUUUCUAUACCUGGACUUGGGGUCCUUGACCUCUGUGCCUCCUGUCACAAACAUCGUUGACGUUUUCCCCAGGAGUCAUUUCUUUCUUCUGUGCUGACUAAUGGUAAUGCUAAAAAAUAAAAUGUAAAUUGUUCUGGUUUCCGGAUGCAAUGGGCUCGGAGAAAGUGGCCCAUUCCUGGGGAAUGAAUCACGACGGGAGGAAAUCGGUCAUGGUCCUCCCCUUCCGCUUUGCCAGGAUUGGUUGGUGGCAAGGAGGGCGUUUGACCGAGUUCUGGCCAAUAGGGCCUGGGGGACGGCUCUGUAGGAGGCAGGCCGUGUUUGGGAAAGUUUUAUCUCCUGCCUCGCUAAGAAAGGUUGAUGGUCGGAAUCAGUGGUCGCUCUGUGCCUUUGACCUGGUAGGGUGAGUACGUGAUGUUGGCAGCGGCAGCAGCCACAGUGAGACCCUGAGGAAAGAGGUGAAGAGAACCCCACAGGAGGCAGUGCCAAGGCUGCCCCUGCUGGCAGGAUGUCCUCAUGAGCCCUGCAUCCCCCUGCCUCUGGACUCCUUGCCGGUGAGAUUAUAACCAUGUGCAUUGAAGCCACUUUGGGCCAGAAAUUCUGUGACAUGAAGCUGAAGGCACCCUGCUUGAUCCCUUUCAUCGCCAGAAUAAUCUCAAUAACUUAUCUGAAUAUUUCUUGCGCCAAUUCCACUUUCUAACUACCAAAAUUUGUGCCUGUCCUGAUGAGACAUCCAGCCCUGUAGGUCAAAGUCAUUUCUCAUUCCCUUCGUGUCCUCCAACGUCCUAGCCUCUUUCUUACCUCAUGGUCAGCGCUGCGCACGUGUAAUGAGCUCAAGCGUGUGAUGAAGGGUUUACAGCCCGGGCCACGGACAGAGUGCAAUGCUUCACCCACACCGGUAUCUCUGCUGGUGUAAAAUAAGACAAGAACGAAAACGACAGAGAGAUGGAGAGACUGAGCGACCCAGUGCAUGCCUUGUGGUCGCUUCCGUGAGAGCAAGGUGGAGGACAAGUCUAGGCCUGGCCUCGGGGAGGGAAGAUCCCAAAGAUGAAGGGCCCGUGUUUCCGCAACCCCUGUGGGGAGGGAACCUGCCUACAGCCCAGGAAUUCGUCUACGUGCAGCCAUGGCACUGCGUUGAGCAGAAGGGCUGUGUGGGAUUUCUGAGGAGGAUCUGGGAGCGAGGCAGCAGCCCCCUUCACUGCCAUCUCUUCUUCCUCCUGUGGCUGUGGAGUCCACAUGUGAUGGCCGGACCCCGUCAAGUGGCGCCUUGAUGAUGGAAGCCGCGGGAAAGUGAGGGAGCAGAAAGAUGGAGGCGGGGCCCCAAUCUUGGAGGG